rnacentral:lncRNA from 1 species
UUCAAUUCAAAUUUGAAAUGUAAGUGGGAGAGCAUUUGCCGGUGGCUAAAGUAACGUUCCAUCUGUAUUUUUUUAUUACUUAACGGUGGAUCAUACGCUACACAUUGAAUAACCAAUGUGAGAAAUUAACUGCCAGUUAAUGGUAAAAAUCCAAGUUUGGUGUUUAACUAACCUGACUUAAAGUAAAAUUUGGAAAUUGUUGCCGGAACAAUUCAACUAUGCUUUUCCUAAGCGAAGCAAUGCUAUAGUCUCCAACAUCUAGAGAGCUCAAAUCAUAGCCGUCUCACAACCUAGGAUCCUUAGUCAUCAGCACCACCGCCGGUGCAGUCUGUGCUACGUGAGUGACCUUUCGCUCCUAAAUUACUGUCAACAUUGUCUUCAUAUCAAAUUUACCUAUGGACACCACCGUCGCUCCCAUAGUUAAAGCCUCACGAAAUAACAUAAACCAUAAACAUGAAAAUAAGGCAAAAGGAAGUUGCAGCUGCCAUCCAGGUCGUGUAAACCUCAUGACUUACAGCCACUAUACAUGUGAAAUUUCUAUGAGUCAAAACCACUCCAUCAACUCGACCAGUAGUCCGUGAGGAUAGAGACAUCGCAGGGUCCAAUCGGUAAACCUUCCCUCGAGUACGAUUGUUUUGAGAUUAGGAAUUAUACGAGCAGCAUUCGACGUUAUGAACACAAUUGCAGGUAUUGACAGCUGAAUUUGGUGGAGAAUCUCAUGUUUAAAGAUAAUUGAUUCUUAAGGAGACCUAACGACACCGAGAGAGAAGAUACAGAAAUAAAGAAUCGAAAGGUGAAUAGAGUUAGGAGAAAGAACAAAGGCAAUAUCUACUUUUCUGAAGCCAAAAUGGUGGUGAAGCGAGAAGUCUAAUUUUUUGUGCGAAGGACGAAGUCGGGAAAAUAAAUUCGACAGAGAGUGACGGCAUGGAAGAGAGCGUUUUAUGUUUUUCUACACCAAUUAAGAAUUUUAACUUAACUAACCAAGGAUUAAUAUCUCACCUUGGUUAUCCAAGGUGUAGUGUAGAGUCCACCGUCAAGUAAUAAAAAAAUACAAUAUGGCCUGCUACCGAUAGAUGCUCCCCCACUUUCAAUUCAAAUUUGGAAAGAAUCGCCAAAUAUUUUUAAAUCUUAAUUCAUUGUGCCAAGAAAUAAAAUUUUGGAUUUUUUAUGCCAUUAUCCUUUUUUCUUCAAGCAACAAUUUAAUUUAGUCUGCUAGUGAAUGAGGAUUUGGGGUAGCUGCGACACUUCGUCUAUGCCUUAUAACUUCUAAUGCCAACUUACGUUUUAUAUCUAGACUGUGACACUGCCUUUCAAGUGUUGUUUUAUAUCAUAAAUUACACCUAUUGGCUUGCCAAUUGCCGUUUUUUUGACAAGCUUUCCAAGUUAUUCAUUUUAGGUACUUCAGUAUGCUCCUACUCUAUGUUAUAGUCAAGUUUUGGCAAUAUUAAGGGUCUAAUUCACUCAUGGUCUCUUUAUGAAAAUUGCUCUCCUAUAUCUUAGCUAAUUCAGUGAUUUCUUUUGUGGCUUUACUUUUAUCUAUAAUCUUAUAAAUAUUAUUAUUUGCAUGCUAAUUAUUUUAGUCAUACUAAACUUAUUAAAUUUUCAUUAAGUAAUUUAUUCGACGUGAAAAUCUAUUAAUAUGGCUUGAAUAUACAUCGCUGCUAUUUGCUAAUUAAAGUCUGAACAUUUAUUAUCUUUGGACCGCACCCGAAGGCUGCCUACAUACCUCCAAUAGAGGAUCAGGUCUACGUAGCUCUUAACAAUAGAUAAUAACAUAAAGUUUAUACUAACAUAAUUUAUUCUAGCUAAUAAUUAACCACAUUAUCACAUUAUAUCUAGAAUCAAGUAAAUAACCAAGGAAACAUAAAUAAUUAUAUUUUCAUAGCUAUAUUUUGCACAAUAUUAUUAAGAAACUAGAUAUCAAUAUUCAAAACAUGUAUAUAUAUAUAUAUAUACACACAAAUUUAUAUAUAAACAAAUAUCAAUAUAACUCAUCAAUAAUAAUUACUUGUACCGAUUAAAGCGUUUAAAAUCUAAACUUUUAAACUUUUAAUAAACAAUAACUAUCUAAACUAACCCCUUAAUCAUACCUACCAUCUUAUAACUAUCACUUAUUUUAUGUGUGUAUUCUUCUUGUAUCUUCAAUUCACUUUUACAUAAUGUUUAGCUAAUUAAUCUUUCUUUACAACCCUUCGAUUUUGUAUUAUGAUAAUUCAAAUUUAUUUCCCUAAAAGGUUAUGACUUUGUUUCGAUAUCAAACAAUCGUUACACUAAAAAGUGAACAAGAAGAUUGGUCACUGACACGUUCUAGCCUAUUUCACCCACUCAUGGCUCUCCUUUUUUUCAUUUCUCUUGUAUUAUAAUAUAUAUAAAAUGCCUCCUUUUAAUUACAAACAACACAAAAAACAAAUAUAUUUUUCGAGUACAUUGUCGCUAUCAUAGAAUUUUUCUAUACCUUAUUGCUGAUGUCUCUAGUAUUUUAUUUUAAAAGGAUAUAAACUUUUAUUAGAAGUCACUUCAUAGUAAUUAGAAACUUGUCAUGAAACAACUGCAUCAGAUAUAAGGCAUCUACCAUAUCCUAGCAGAUUCUUAAAAGUGAUGCACAAACUUUCCAAUCAAUGCUCCAAUGUACAUAAUGUAAUCUGCAGCUUACAAUACACACAUUUGCAGCAUUGAAUAGAUUAUUGCGAUCACGACUUUUAUCUUCUAAUACAUGUUGAAUGUCAAAUAACAUUCUUAGCCAACUUACAAAAACCUAUAGUAGAGUUAUAUCCUGACCUUAACUUAUAAGGUAUAUACAUUUGCUUAUACUUGUUCCUUCUCCUUAAUACCUACAACGGCCUAAACGUUAGCUCUAAUACCACUAACUGCAACACUCCUAUAAGGUUAUUUAACUAACCGAAAUGGAGAUGUCACGUUUCGUGGUGCUUAUCUUAUUUUUUCAAUUAACUAUUAUCAUGUAUUUCAUGAUAUUUUUUCCUACCGAAAAUACUCUAGAGUCUCCUUUCUAAACUGGUUCUAAUUUCAUCUAUGAAUAAUAAAAUUUCACUUCAAUGAACUCUCAACCUUUAACCCCCAAACGUCAUUCAAUCACAAACACAAUUUUCAACUCAGAUAAACUCUUCUAAUAAUUAUACCAAAAUAAAACUCUUCUCAUGCAAUAUUAAUUACAACCCACAUAUCUAUUAUGUACAUGCCAUAUUUGUACAAUUUUCUAUAUGUCAAGUCUCAAUAGUGAGAAAGGAAUCGCGAAUCAGUGUGUCUUGUUUAGUAAUAUUUUUUCGGAGCAAUGGGAUAAAUAUUCUAAAUCUUUGAGGAUUUUAAGUUUUAAUCCAAAGGUUUUUUCCUAUCGAAAAUUCGGCACCGUCUCCUCUGUAUAUUGGUCCUCAUUCCAUCUGUGAAUGAUAAAAUUUCAAUUCAGUGAACUCUCAAUCUUAACUUUCCUAAACUUCCUUCAACCACAAACACAAUUUUCAAAUCAAAUCAACACUUCAUAGAUACCAAGUGUCAACAAUGAGAAAGGAAUAAUGGAUUGAGUGACCACAUUAUUUAUUAAUAUAUUUUUGGAUAAUGGCAUAAAAAAUUUAAACCUUUAAAGAUUUUUUGCAUUUUAAUUAAAAAGAUUUUACUUGCUACAAUAGCUUAGAAUUUAAAAACAUUUAGCCAUUCAAUUCAAAUUUGAAAUGUAAGUGGGAGAGCAUUUGCCGGUGGCUAAAGUAACGUUCCAUCUGUAUUUUUUUAUUACUUAACGGUGGAUCAUACGCUACACAUUGAAUAACCAAUGUGAGAAAUUAACUGCCAGUUAAUGGUAAAAAUCCAAGUUUGGUGUUUAACUAACCUGACUUAAAGUCAAAUUUGGAAAUUGUUGCCGGAACAAUUCAACUAUGCUUUUCCUAAGCGAAGCAACGCUAUAGUCUCCAACAUCUAGAGAGCUCAAAUCAUAGCCGUCUCACAACCUAGGAUCCUUAGUCAUCAGCACCACCGCCGGUGUAGUCUGUGCUACGUGAGUGACCUUUCGCUCCUAAAUUACUGUCAACAUUGUCUUCAUAUCAAAUUUACCUAUGGACACCACCGUCACUCCCAUAGUUAAAGCCCUCACGAAAUAACAUAAACCAUAAACAUGAAAAUAAAGCAAAAGGAAGUUGCAGCUGCCAUCCAGGUCGUGUAAACCUCAUGACUUACAGCCACUAUACAUGUGAAAUUUCGAUGAGUCAAAACCACUCCAUCAACUCGACCAGUAGUCCGUGAGGAUAGAGAAUCAUCGCAAGGUCCAAUCG